rnacentral:rRNA from 1 species
AAAUAAUUUAUUUAGUUUCUUGAUUUUUGGGCUCUAAGAUAUGUACACAUCGCCCGUCGCUCUCGUGAUAAAACGAGAUAAGUCGUAACAUAGUAGAUGUAUUGGAAAAUGUAUCUAGAAAGAUCA